AUCGAACGCUGGCGGCAGGCUUAACACAUGCAAGUCGAGCGGGGUGAUGGUGCUUGCACUAUCACUUAGCGGCGGACGGGUGAGUAAUGCUUAGGAAUCUGCCUAUUAGUGGGGGACAACAUCUCGAAAGGGAUGCUAAUACCGUAUACGUCCUACGGGAGAAAGCAGGGGAUCACUUGUGACCUUGCGCUAAUAGAUGAGCCUAAGUCGGAUUAGCUAGUUGGUGGGGUAAAGGCCUACCAAGGCGACGAUCUGUAGCGGGUCUGAGAGGAUGAGCCGCCACACUGGGACUGAGACACGGCCCAGACUCCUACGGGAGGCAGCAGUGGGGAAUAUUGGAAAAUGGGGGGAACCCUGAUCCAGCCAUGCCGCGUGUGUGAAGAAGGCCUUAUGGUUGUAAAGCACUUUAAGCGAGGAGGAGGCUCUUUUGGUUAAUACCCAAGAUGAGUGGACGUUACUCGCAGAAUAAGCACCGGCUAACUCUGUGCCAGCAGCCGCCGUAA
rnacentral:rRNA from 1 species